UCCGUAGGGUGAACCUGCGGAGGGAUCAUUACACAAUAACCAGGCGGGCUGGACACCCCCCGCUGGGCACUGCUUCACGGCGUGCGCGGCGGGGCCGGCCCUGCUGAAUUAUUCACCCGUGUCUUUUGCGUACUUCUUGUUUCCUGGGUGGGCUCGCCCGCCCUCAGGACCAACCACAAACCUUUUGCAAUAGCAAUCAGCGUCAGUAACAACGUAAUUAAUUACAACUUUCAACAACGGAUCUCUUGGUUCUGGCAUCGAUGAAGAACGCAGCGAAAUGCGAUACGUAGUGUGAAUUGCAGAAUUCAGUGAAUCAUCGAAUCUUUGAACGCACAUUGCGCCCUUUGGUAUUCCAAAGGGCAUGCCUGUUCGAGCGUCAUUUGUACCCUCAAGCUUUGCUUGGUGUUGGGCGUCUUUUGUCUCCAGUUCGCUGGAGACUCGCCUUAAAGUCAUUGGCAGCCGGCCUACUGGUUUCGGAGCGCAGCACAAGUCGCACUCUUCGCCAGCCAAGGUCAGCGUCCAGCAAGCCUUUUUUUCAACCUYUGACCUCGGAUCAGGUAGGGAUACCCGCUGAACUUAAGCA
rnacentral:rRNA from 1 species